rnacentral:rRNA from 1 species
CACCGCGGUUAUCGAGAGGCCCAAGUUGACAAAAAUCGGCGAAAAGCGUGGUUAGUGAUAUCACCUCCACUAAAGCCAAACACCUUCAAGGCUGUAAUACGCCCCCGAAGACAGGAAGCCCAAUCACGAAAGUAGCUUUAAUUUUCAUGAAGCCACGAAAGCUAGGAAACAAACUGGGAUUAGAUACCCCACUAUG